UGUGGUCAUUAUUUCCGACUGUUAUUAGACUAAAAGGCAUUAUUCGAAAAUUUAAUUAGUAUUAGUGUAGAAACCCACGCGAUGCGGCGGAUAAAAAUUUUUAGUAAAAAUUUUUAGAAUAAAUAAACAAAUAUGGAACAUAAAAAAGAAAAAGAAAAAUAUAAGUGUAUUUGAUUGAAAACAUUACAUAUUUUCUCAUAAAUGAUAGAUUAAGAGCCACUAAAAAAAAGAAAAUAAACGUGAGUAAAUGAAACGAAAAAUAAAAAGUUAUUUGAAAAAAUAAAAUAAAUAUAAUUUUUUAGAGAAGAGAAA
rnacentral:lncRNA from 1 species